GUUUGCGAUGCAAACCUUGAUUAAGGUGAUACUGGCACUGGUAUUUCAGUCAAUGAAGUCAGUGAAGCACUCGUCUGCUAUGAUAGCUACCUACAACUUUAGCAUGUUGACUCACUGAUAAUGGUUUAGCCCUAACCUCUAGCUAGCUGUGCAUUAACGUUUGCAUUUUGCCAAGUUUGGAAUCAUAACAUUACGUAACUUUAGUUUCUAUCUGCCAUCUUUGUAAUGAAAGCCUCGGCAUUUUAAUCACUGUUUAAGUCGGUUCAGACAACUAUUGGCAUCUGUUUGUGAUUUAUUAUGCUAACGUAACUUAACUGUAUGGAACGUGGUCCCCAUCUUCUAUUUUGUUUGUUCUGCAGCGUCAACUUUUAUCGGCUGGAUUCUAGCAUCUAACGUUACGAUUGCCUCUGUUGGGUUUGCUUGAUCAACCAUCGUUUCGGGGACUCUGAUGACAGUGAAGAGCCAGAAAAUGGUGACUUUGCAUCUCUGAGGUACCUUCCAACUCGCCUGGUAUAUCAGUUGAAGCAAACUCCACCAUGUCGCCGAGUGCCAGGCAGCCGAGUCA